UCAUAGCUCAGUCGGUAGAGUGCUACCUUGGUAAGGUAGAGGUCACGGGUUCGAUUCCCGUUGUAG
rnacentral:tRNA from 1 species